GUGUUUACCACGACGACCAGCUAGAGUUCGACACUGGGUUCGGUAACAUAAUCGUGGUUGAUAACCUCCCCGUUGUUCCGAAGACCAAGUUUGAGAAGCUCGAGAAUGUACUGAAGAAGAUUUACAGCCAGCUGGGCGUUAUCAAGGAGAAAGGGCUGUGGAUGCCUGUUGAUCCCAACACGGGGAUGACAUUGGGAUACUGUUUCAUUGAGUUCAAUACUCCUCAGGUUUACUUUCUUGUCUUAAUGAGAAGAGAACAUGUGUUUUUGUAAGAGUUUGUGUUAAUGUGUCGGGGGUUGUUUUUUUUUUUUUUUUUUGCCAGGAAGCUCAAAACGCUAAGGAGACUCAUGGCUACAAGUUGGACAAGUCUCAUAUCUUUGCUGUCAACAUGUUCGAUGAUUUUGACAGGCUCAUGAAUGUCAAGGAGGAGUGGGAGGCUCCUCAGACCAAGCCCUAUGUCCCUGGGGUAUGUCUAGUUUCAAUCAGGCUGUGUUUUCUAGUUAGCAUGUACCUUGAAGACUUAUCUUGAAUAUUCUCUUGUUGAUUUGGUGAAAUGAGUUUGAUUGCAUAACACUAGUUGCAUGUACAUUUGUGUAUUCACUGCUUGUUCUCGUUACGAUUUCAGGAAAACUUGCAAAAGUGGCUUACGGAUGAGAAAGCAAGGGAUCAGCUAGUCACGCGCUCUGGCCCUGAUACUGAAGUUUUCUGGAAUGAUGCUAGGCAGAAGAAUACUGAACUCGUUCAUAAGCGUCCGGUAAGUUACUUGCAUCUUCUUCCUGUGUAUGUAUGUUUAAUGUAACCAUCAAUUAAAUAUAUAUGGUGUUCUCUUCCUAUACAGUACUGGACAGAGAGCUAUGUGCAGUGGUCUCCUCUUGGUACGUACCUCGUGACACUUCACAAGCAGGGGGCAGCCGUUUGGGGUGGUGCUGAUACCUUCACUCGUCUCAUGCGUUAUCAGCAUAAUAUGGUUCGUUCGUUCGUUGUCUUUCCUCUUGAUUGUUACUUUUCCUCUGUUGUCCUGAAGUUUGACUUUUUUUUUUUGGUUGAUUCAAUUGUAGGUAAAACUAGUUGAUUUCUCUCCGGGUGAGAAAUACCUGGUAACUUACCAUAGCCAGGAACCAAAUAACCCACGAGAUGCAAGUGUAAGUCCAUCUUUGCUUCUGUUCCCUUCCUAUUUUUUUUAUUUUCUUAUUGCAAAGGAUUCUGAUUUUCUUUUCGACUUUCAGAAAGUGGAGAUAAAGGUCUUUGAUGUGAGAACCGGGAGGAUGAUGAGAGAUUUCAAGGGUAGUGCUGAUGAGUUUUCAAUUGGAGGACCUGGUGGUGUUGCUGGUGCUUCUUGGCCUGUUUUCAGGUAAAUUUCCGUAACUGCUUUUAAGUUUCCUAAAAAUGCGUACUCUACAUUUGUUGAUAUAUUGUAUACCUUUUCUGCAGAUGGGCUGGUGGAAAAGACGACAAAUACUUCGCCAAGCUCAGCAAAAACACGAUCUCCGUCUACGAGACCGAGACAUUCGGCCUAAUUGACAAGAAAUCCAUUAAGGUUGAUAAUGUCGUGGACGUCUGUUGGUCUCCUACCGACUCCAUCCUCUCACUCUUUGUUCCUGAACAAGGUGGUGGCAACCAGCCUGCCAAGGUAGCUCUUGUCCAAAUCCCUAGCAAGGUGGAGCUGAGGCAGAAGAAUCUCUUUAGCGUGAGCGACUGCAAGAUGUACUGGCAGAGCAGCGGAGAGUAUCUCGCAGUCAAGGUUGAUCGAUACACAAAGACGAAGAAGAGCACGUACUCUGGCUUCGAGCUUUUCCGCAUCAAGGAAAGGGAUAUCCCCAUCGAGGUUCUUGAGCUGGACAACAAGAACGACAAGAUCAUCGCUUUCGCGUGGGAGCCCAAGGGUCACAGGUUUGCCGUGAUCCAUGGUGACCAGCCAAGGCCAGAUGUCAGUUUCUACACGAUGAAGACCACACAGCACGGUGGAAGGGUUACCAAGCUCGGUACUUUGAAGGCCAAACAAGCCAAUGCCCUCUUCUGGUCGCCCACGGGGAAGUACAUCAUUCUCGCUGGGUUGAAGAAUUUCAACGGCCAGCUUGAGUUUUUCAACGUGGAUGAGCUCGAGACGAUGGCCACAACUGAGCACUUCAUGGCCACGGAUAUUGAAUGGGACCCAACCGGAAGGUAUUGUCUCUUAAAAACUAAACCGGUCAUUGAUGGUUUUCUCUUUGUUUCAAUUGUAGACAAAAGUGAUGUUGUUAACAAUGGUUUUCUCUUUUACUUUGAUAGGUAUGUUGCAACGGCAGUGACAUCAGUCCAUGAGAUGGAGAAUGGGUUCACCAUCUGGUCGUUCAAUGGAAAAUUGCUUUACAGGAAUCUGAAGGAUCAUUUCUUCCAGGUAUGUAACAAAAACAUAACUUGGUCUCACCAUGUCUAAAUACAUAAUACUGUAAAUUUUCUAUGGUCGUAUAGUUAGCAUGGCGCCCAAGACCUCCAUCAUUCUUAUCUCCGGAGAAGGAAGAAGAGAUAGCGAAGAAUCUGAAGAAGUACAGCAAGAAGUACGAGUUAGAGGAUCAGGACGUGUCGCUGCUGUUGAGUGAACAAGACAGAGAGAAGAGGAAGGCGUUGAAGGAAGAAUGGGAGAAAUGGGUGAAGCAGUGGAAGUCGCUGCAGGAAGAGGAGAAACUUGCGAGGCAAAGCCUCAGGGAUGGAGAAGUCAGUGAUGAGGAAGAAGAAGAGGAUGAAGCCAAAGAAGUUAAAGAAGUUGAGUUUGAGGAUGUUAUUGAAGUCACUGAAGAAGUCGUCCAAGAAUGAAGAAGUGGCUUCUCGUUAUUUACUUGUCCUUUGGAUCUCUCUUUAGACAUCAUCAAACUGUUCUUUUCGUUAUUGUCUUCUGUUCUUUGAAGUUUUAAGAGAAUUUUCAAUUUUGGUUCCUGAGGAUAUUAUGUUUCUUUAUCCAGUGUUUGAAUUAUAUGUCGGAGCACUUUAAUAAAUCGAUCGUAUCUUAAAUCCAAAAUCACUUUGGUUAUGUCCCACCAGCAACUCUUGAACGUGCUUUUGGGAUCACAAACAUCCUCAUCACUUCCAAUCACAACAAUUAUUAUGUUCCUCACACACUGCGUAACAUUCCAUCUCAUGGGACAUCUUGAUUGUACUCUUCCUCCCAUAUCAAACUGGGUCUAUCGAAUUCUUGCCCAAAACCUCUGUUCCGCUCAUCAUUUCAAAGAGGAGGGCACCACGCCUGAUUCGAAGAACUAAGUAACAUACUAAAUUUCAGCCCUCGACUUACUGGGUUGUUUCACAACACCAAAGAAGCUCUUGCGAUCCAAGCUUUUGAUCAUGAGCUACAGACAAAUUCAAGUUUACUGCUAUAAGCUGAAAUCUCUGGCUGAUCUGCUCUCCAAUAUUGAUGCGCCAGUCAACAAAAGAACACUUGUCAUGAAAAUUACAUCGGUGUUAUCUAACACAGCCAUUUUCAAGCUUUUCCAGUGCUAAAUCAAUGCUAGAGAUGAAGUUCGUCUCAAAAAGAUAAACAAGAAUAAUCACAAAGAGCUUAUUAAUCCAAAGACUUUCGAAAUAUCACUUGGACCCUUGUUAGUAUUUCUUAUCGGUUCAUAUUUCAAUUUCAUGUUAGUAUUAAUAUAAAUGUCAAAUUUCAAACAAUUAAUUUCUAUACAUUAAAAUCAAAUAUUUUUCUUAUAUUAUUAUAAAUAUAUCUUAAAAUAAAAAAAUUUAAAUAAGGAAAUUUUUAUAAAUUUAUAUCUCUAUAAAUUAUUAAAAUUUCGAGGUUCCAUCGUUAUUAAUCUAUAGAGUUCCACUGUAGGUCCAAACUAAUUACAGGCUCCGCACUGAUCGGGCCGUAACAAUAAUGGGCCUUAGAAUAAGUAGGUCCAAAAUAUUCAUAUUCCUUCUCUCCUCACCUUAUCAGUAACCGCAAAAAAAAAAAAAAAACAGGAACUGAAAACCCUAGGCACUCCUCUCUCCUCCUCAGCUCCAAACUCUUCAACCGCUUCCCAGACAAUCCAUUACCGGAAUCAUGGCGGAAUUGGAUAUCGACACCCGCGCGGCUAAGCUAGGGAUCGAUUGGUCUCAGGUUAACCUCGAUUCAAUUCAACUCCCUCCUGGAGAAAACUUCGGGAUCGAGAGGUGAGUUUUUUUCCUUCUCUCUCUAUUAGAUCUGUAGAAAUGAGAUGUGAUGGGAACUAUGGAACUGAUUCUGCUUUUUUUUUUAAGUGAUGAUGAAGGUGUUUACCACGACGACCAGCUAGAGUUCGACACUGGGUUCGGUAACAUAAUCGUGGUUGAUAACCUCCCCGUUGUUCCGAAGACCAAGUUUGAGAAGCUCGAGAAUGUACUGAAGAAGAUUUACAGCCAGCUGGGCGUUAUCAAGGAGAAAGGGCUGUGGAUGCCUGUUGAUCCCAACACGGGGAUGACAUUGGGAUACUGUUUCAUUG
rnacentral:lncRNA from 1 species